GACCUCGGAUCAGGUAGGGAUACCCGCUGAACUUAAGCAUAUCAAUAAGCGGAGGAAAAGAAACCAACAGGGAUUGCCUUAGUAACUGCGAGUGAAGCGGCAAAAGCUCAAAUUUGAAAUCUGGCGUCUUUGGCGUCCGAAUUGUAAUUUGGAGAGGCAUCUUCGGUGAUGGCGCUGCCCUAAGUUCCUUGGAACAGGAUGACAUAGAGGGUGAGAUCCCCGUGCCUGGGUGGCUGUCCAUCUCCAUGUGAAGUGUCUUCGACGAGUCGAGUUGUUUGGGAAUGCAGCUCAAAAUGGGUGGUAAAUUCCAUCUAAAGCUAAAUAUUGGCGAGAGACCGAUAGCGCACAAGUAGAGUGAUCGAAAGAUGAAAAGCACUUUGAAAAGAGAGUUAAAAAGUACGUGAAAUUGUUGAAAGGGAAGCGC
rnacentral:rRNA from 1 species